rnacentral:rRNA from 1 species
UACGAAGGGGGCUAGCGUUGCUCGGAAUCACUGGGCGUAAAGCGCACGUAGGCGGCUUUCUAAGUCAGGGGUGAAAUCCUGGAGCUCAACUCCAGAACUGCCUUUGAUACUGGAGAGCUAGAGUCCGGAAGAGGUGAGUGGAACUGCGAGUGUUGAGGUGAAAUUCGUAGAUAUUCGCAAGAACACCAGUGGCGAAGGCGGCUCACUGGUCCGGUACUGACGCUGAGGUGCGAAAGCGUGGGGAGCAAACAGG